GGCUCGUUGGUCCAAGGGAAGGAUUCUCGCUUCCGGUGCAAGAGGUCCCGGAUUCAUUCCCGGACGAGCCC
rnacentral:tRNA from 1 species